GCUUGACUUGAAGAUUUUGGACUUUCUAAAGCUUGGUUUUCAAGAUUUCUUCAAGAUUGAGAUUUGAACUUGGAUUGAAGUGUGGAGGUAGGAGGAGAAGGGAUUGAGCAAGGGUUUGAAGAAUUGACUAAGGUUACUUGAACUUGGAGAAGUGGUUGCUAGAGUUGUGGUGAGGUUUUUGCUCAAAUGAGGUAGGGAUUUUCUUAAACCUUAAUCUCAAA